UCGGGUUUGAUCCUGGCUCAGAACGAACGCUGGCGGCAUGCCUAACACAUGCAGGUCGAACGAACCCUUCGGGGUUAGUGGCGCACGGGUGCGUAACGCGUGGGAAUCUGCCCUUUGCUUCGGAAUAACAGUUAGAAAUGACUGCUAAUACCGGAUGAUGUCUUCGGACCAAAGAUUUAUCGGCAAAGGAUGAGCCCGCGUAGGAUUAGGUAGUUGGUGGGGUAAAGGCCUACCAAGCCGACGAUCCUUAGCUGGUCUGAGAGGAUGAUCAGCCACACUGGGACUGAGACACGGCCCAGACUCCUACGGGAGGCAGCAGUGGGGAAUAUUGGACAAUGGACGCAAGUCUGAUCCAGCAAUGCCGCAUGAGUGAUGAAGGCCUUAGGGUUGUAAAGCUCUUUUACCAGGGAUGAUAAUGACAGUACCUGGAGAAUAAGCUCCGGCUAACUCCGUGCCAGCAGCCGCGGUAAUACGGAGGGAGCUAGCGUUGUUCGGAAUUACUGGGCGUAAAGCGCACGUAGGCGGUUACUCAAGUCAGAGGUGAAAGCCCC
rnacentral:rRNA from 1 species